rnacentral:rRNA from 1 species
CAGUAGCCGCGGGAAUACGGAGGGUGCAAGCGUUAAUCGGAAUUACUGGGCGUAAAGCGCACGCAGGCGGUUUGUUAAGUCAGAUGUGAAAUCCCCGAGCUUAACUUGGGAACUGCAUUUGAAACUGGCAAGCUAGAGUCUUGUAGAGGGGGGUAGAAUUCCAGGUGUAGCGGUGAAAUGCGUAGAGAUCUGGAGGAAUACCGGUGGCGAAGGCGGCCCCCUGGACAAAGACUGACGCUCAGGUGCGAAAGCGUGGGGAGCAAACAGGAUUAGAUACCCGUGUAGUCCCUGUCUCUUAUAU